ACCGGAGCUGGCGGGAUUACGUCCUCCAUCACUGAGGCCCCGCCCCUUGUCGUGCGUCUCCCUCCGCUAACGAUAAAUUCCAAUUUCGGUAUCCUCCGCCAAGACACAAGGAUUCCAGCUGCAGAAUCAAGUUGGAAAAGAAGACCAGAACAGUGUUGUAGGCCAGGAUUUCAGUGGAUCCAGAGUCUGGAGUCAAUAGUAGAGGGAGCAAUUGGAGGCUAUCAGCAGCCCUGCAGCAUGGGAAACUGGCCUCGGACGGUGAGGUCAUGUCUUUUCGAGCUCCGCUACACGUGGGGGGUGAUCAAGCCAGCUGGUGGCCCCCUUAAGAAGUAUGAUGAGGGAUUUCAGGUGAUUUGUGGUAGUCCUCCUGGGGGGUUACUAAGCUUACAAAGAGGUCAGAAGUACAAAAGGCCUUGGCCCCAGUGGAAGAACAGAGAUGAAAAGCCCAGAAACCUGUCCCCAUGAAACUCCUGGCGGGGGAGAAGGAUUCAAAAUGGGUAUAAGGUGGCGCUACCAGCACAGGGAGGAACUUUCCAUUGCUGGCUGAAGAAUAAUUACUCCCUGUUGUUGGGUUCCCUGAGUCAGUAUACAUUCCCUAAGGGGUUUGGGUGGCUUAAUCAUGCAAAUUAAAAUGAUCUAAUAGGAUUUGCUACUUGAUAAGUGAACGUAAUUACUCGGCUUCUCCCUGUUGACUUGAUCAUUGUUAUUUUAAACAGAAUUCCCUUUCUGGUAUAAUGAGUGACUGAAACGACAUGGAAAUGUUAAAUAAAACCUUAUAUAUAAAACUGGUUUUGUGGUUU
rnacentral:lncRNA from 1 species